rnacentral:lncRNA from 1 species
GAACCAGGGCUCUUUCCUACACUCCUCUUCACAUUCCCGACUUACACGCAGAGGGAAAGAGAAUUCAUAAAGGGAAUAUUUUUCUGCCUUUGAAGAUAUUCUCACAAGAUCGUUCUCCACGCCCAAGGUGUGGAAACAGGAAGAGAACUAGAACUGGAAGUAAAGCAUUGAAGAUGUGACUGAAUUGCUGCAAUCUCAUGAUCAAAUUUGAAUGGAUGAGGAGUUGCUUUUUAGGGAUGAGCAAAGAAAGUGGUUUCUCGAGAUGGAAUCUACUGGUGAAGUUGCUGUGAACAUUGUUAAAAUGCCAAUAAAGGAUUUAGGAAUUACAGAAACCUGGUUGAUAAAGCAGUGCCAGGGUGUGAGAGAGUUGACUUCAAUUUUGAAAUAAGUUCCACUGGCUGGGUGUGGUGGCUCACACCUGCAAUCCCAGUACUUUAGGAGGCCGAGACUGGUAGAUCAUUUGAGGUCAGGAGUUCAAGACCAGCCUUGCCAACAUGGUGAAACCCCACCUCUACCAAAUUAGCCAGGUGUGGUGCACACCUGUAGUCCCAGCUACUUGGGAAGCUGAGGCAGGAGAAUCUCUUGAACCAGGGAGGAGGAGGUUGCAGUAAGCCGAGAUGGCGCCCCUGCACUCCAGCCUGGGUGACAGAGUGAGACCUUGCGUUUAAAAAAAAAAAAAAAGGAAAAGGAAAAAAAAGUUCUACUGUGGGUAAAAUGCUAUCAUGCUAUCAAACAGCAUCACAUGCUACAGAGAAGUCUUGUGAAAGGAUGUCAGUGUGGCAAACUUCAUUGUCUUUUAAGAAAUUGCCACAGCUAUCGUAAUCUUCAACCACCACCACCCUGAUGAGUCAGUAGCCAUCGUUAACGUUGGCGUAAGACCCUCCACCAGCAAAAAGAUUGUUAGCAUUUUUUUAGCAGUGAUGUAUUUAUCAAUUAUACAUAAUGCUAUUGUACACUUCUUAAUAGACUAUGGUAUAGUGUAACCAUAAUUUAUGCACUGGGAAACCAACAAAUUCAUGAGAUUCGCUUUAUUGUAGUGCUCUGGAAUUGAGCCUGCCGUGUUUCUGAGGUUGCUCCUUGAGGGCAGGACAGUUCUUAUGGCUUUAUCCGUUGCGUAAGCACAGAGAGGUCUGCGAGGUCAAAACUAUUGUCAUGAUAGCAAGAUGCCUGUCUUUUUCAUUUAUUCUCACGGUGUGCAGAGGCUACAUGAUGUGUGAUGACAUCCUCAUUGAUGUUAAUGAAUGGUGCUAUACUUGAAUUUUCUAAGGUGUCAUUAGCAAUUCUCCUGCCUCAGCCUCCUGCAUAACUGGGACUACAGGGAAGCACCAUUUUCCACAAAACUCUCAAGAAGGACUUGUUGCAACUGGAAAAGCAAUUAAAUGUGAAUCGUGAUCCAGGAGAAAGUAACAACUCACAUAACUCCCAAAUUAAAAGUUUUCCAAAGAUAUAUCAUUUUUUUUCUCUUGGCCUUUUAAGAAACUAGCCAACAAAUACUCUUGACAGGUUUGUGUUUGGUUUUGAAAACACACACCUUAGUGUACUGAAAGAAAAACAAUUUCUUUUAAUUUGGUUUGUUGGUCCCACACCCCAUCUAUCAAUGUAUGUGCUAUUUACAAAUAAGUUCUAUACAGUAUUUUUGCAGUACCUUUGAUAAUUCCUAGACCUCUAUUUUCAUUCUGUGUAUUAAUGUGAAUAACAGAUGGAUAUUUUAAUAUUUAAGGCAGAUGGUAAACUUUCCUAUAGGUCUUGUGAGACUUCGUCUUAUAGGCUGAACACCAUUCACAAAAUGUAAUAAUGCUUCAUUCCUUCAGGUUGAGGUAAAGAACUUGAGCAACUGGAUUAGCAAAGCUGCAAAGAAUGAAAUGUGGCCUAAGAUGUAAUUAUGUUCUCUGCCCUUCCUUUGGGCCAGGGUAGUUUUGCACUUGACACAAUGGAAAAUAGGCCAUAAAGCCUGAAAAUAAAAUGUUCUAAACCCCAAUCUCACAGCACUUUAGUAGGCUUUUCACUAGGCAUCUUUAAAGUAUUUUCAACAAAAUACUAAUUAAGCUACCACUUCAA